AAUUCUCUUGGAUUUAUGUCUAGAAGCGGAAUUGCUGGGUAUGAACACCAUUUCAAAUACUGCUGAAAUAUUGUAUCCACUGUGCCUGGCCAGGUCAGGGGUGGAUCUUUAACCAGGCCUGAGGCAUGGCGCCGGGCUAUCUGCCCGUGGAUUUCAUUUCUGCCUUUUAGUUUUUACUUCUUCUUUCUUUAGAGGCAGAAAUUGGCAUAAGACAAUAUGAGGGGUGGUCUCCUCCCUUAGUUUAAAAAAAAAAACUAGAAAUGAAAGCUUCUACGUAGGAAUCAGACUCUUUACUGAUCAUAAGGAAAUCCUUGAAUUAUACUGUCUCGGUUGCAGUAAUCAAAAAUUCAAAGGCCAUACUAACUGGACGCAGACUCAGAAAACAGAAACAGGAAAACAAUGGCUUAAUUUAGUACACCGAAUAUUCUUGAUAUCCUUAUCAUUAACUGUAACUUAGUUAGCGUGAUAUUUUUGAUCCUUAAUUUUUAAACAUCGUAUAAAGAAUUUUCCAUCCAAAGUAACAUGAGGCAGAGCUACCUGAAUUUCAGUGGUGAUAAGACAAAAAUAUUUUGGCCCACAGCUUUUGCAGGAACACUCUGAAGGAAAGUUAACUCUGUGAAGUUUAAUUUCUAUCUUCCUUGGCCUACAUUUUUUUCUAAGGUAGUGAUUUUUCAGUGACCUGAAACCCAAGCUGCGCCUGCCCUUUUCAAUGACUAAAUGGUUACAAACCAAAAAAGAUUGAACACUGACUGACAGGGGAGAGCUAGCAACUCUACUUGCUGUGUUACUUCUCAAAGUGGGGUCUGGGAACACCCUGGGGUACAUGGAUCCACAGGAUACGGACUGGCCUC
rnacentral:sRNA from 1 species